rnacentral:rRNA from 1 species
UACAGAGGGGGCAAGCGUUGUUCGGAAUUACUGGGCGUAAAGGGCGCGUAGGUGGCCUUCUAAGUUGAACGUGAAAAUCCCUGGGCUCAACCCAGGAACUGCGUCCAAGACUGGGAGGCUUGAAUCCGGGAGAGGGAUGCGGAAUUCCAGGUGUAGCGGUGAAAUGCGUAGAUAUCUGGAGGAACACCGGUGGCGAAGGCGGCAUCCUGGACCGGUAUUGACGCUGAGGCGCGAAAGCCAGGGGAGCAAACGGGG